GUGGGGAAUAUUGGACAAUGGGCGCAAGCCUGAUCCAGCCAUGCCGCGUGAGUGAUGAAGGCCCUAGGGUUGUAAAGCUCUUUCACCGAUGAAGAUAAUGACGGUAGUCGGAGAAGAAGCCCCGGCUAACUUCGUGCCAGCAGCCGCGGUAAUACGAAGGGGGCUAGCGUUGUUCGGAAUUACUGGGCGUAAAGCGCACGUAGGCGGAUAUUUAAGUCAGGGGUGAAAUCCAAGAGCUCAACUCUGGAACUGCCUUUGAUACUGGGUAUCUCGAGUAUGGAAGAGGUGAGUGGAAUUCCGAGGGUAGAGGUGAAAUUCGUAGAUAUUCGGAGGAACACCAGUGGCGAAGGCGGCUCACUGGUCCAUUACUGACGCUGAGGUGCGAAAGCGUGGGGAGCAAACAGGAUUAGAUACCCCAGUAGUCC
rnacentral:rRNA from 1 species